ACUCCUACGGGAGGCAGCAGCAAGGAAUUUUGCGCAAUGGGCGGAAGCCUGACGCAGCGACGCCGCGUGAGGGAUGAAGGCCUUCGGGUUGUAAACCUCUUUUCCUGAGGAAGAAUAAUGACGGUACUCAGGGAAUAAGUCUUGGCUAACUACGUGCCAGCAGCCGCGGUAAUACGUAGGAGGCGAACGUUAUUCGGAUUUACUGGGCGUAAAGAGGGUGUAGACGGCUUUUUAAGUCAGUUGUGAAAUCUCCUGACUCAAUCCGGAGGAGUCAAUUGAUACUGAAAAGCUCGAGGACAGCAGAAGAAAGUGGAAUUCCAGGUGUAGCGGUGACAUGCGUAGAUAUCUGGAGGAACACCAGUGGCGAAGGCGGCUUUCUAGGCUGUUCCUGACGUUGAUGCCCAAAAGCGUGGGGAGCGAAACGUAUUAGAUACACGUGUAGUCCACGCCCUAAACGUUGGACACUAGGUAUGGGGAGUAUCGACCCUUUUCGUGCCGAAGCUAACGCUUUAAGUGUCCCGCCUGGGGACUACGGCCGCAAGGCUAAAACUC
rnacentral:rRNA from 1 species